rnacentral:rRNA from 1 species
GACGAACGCUGGCGGCGUGCCUAAUACAUGCAAGUCGAACGCAGUGGGGACGGGUGAGUAACACGUGGGUAACCUCCCAUCAGAGGGGAUAACACUUGGAAACAGGUGCUAAACCGAUACUGCUGGAUGGACCCGCGGUGCAUUAGCUAGUUGGUGAGGUAACGGCUCACCAAGGCCACGAUGCAUAGCCGACCUGAGAGGAUGACCAGCAACACUGGAACUGAGACCCGGUCCAGACUCCUACGGGAGGCAGCAGUGGGGAAUAUUGCACAAUGGGCGCAAGCCUGAUACAGCCAUGCCGCGUGUGUGAAGAAGGCCUUCGGGUUGUAAAGCACUUUCAGCGGGGAGGCGUUACCCGCAGAAGAAGCACCGGCUAACUCCGUGCCAGCAGCCGCGGUAAUUC